rnacentral:tmRNA from 1 species
UGGUUUCGACGGCAGUCGGAGGGCCGAGAGGAGCGAGCCAAGAUUCCCGAGACCUUGUAAAACGCGGGGCAAACAAGAAGUGCCAACGAAAACUACGCACUGGCUGCCUAAGAAGUAGCCACGUCGAUAGGGACCCCUGCUCUUCGGGUGCCUAAAGACGCCAAAAAGGAGGGCCGCUCCGGAGGAACCGCACCCGCACUCCGGCUAAGACCAGGGAGCUCGGGAGGAGAGAUCCCGUCACCGGGAGCUCGAAUCCGACACGAAAUCGGUGACUACGCUCGUAGAGCCUGUCUGGUUGGCC